rnacentral:rRNA from 1 species
UACAGAGGGGGCAAGCGUUAUUCGGAAUUAUUGGGCGUAAAGGGCGCGUAGGCGGCUUGGCAAGUGGAAGGUGAAAUCCCACAGCUCAACUGUGGAACUGCUCGGUAUACUGCUUUUCUUGAGCCACUUAGGGGCUGUCGGAACAAACGGUGGAGCGGUGAAAUGCGUAGAUAUCGUUUGGAACGCCAAAGGUGAAAACGGACAGCUGGGAGUGUGCUGACGCUGAGACACGAAAGCCAGGGGAGCGAACGGG